rnacentral:lncRNA from 1 species
GGGUAGUUGAGAGAAAAGUAAAUGAAGUGAAAUGAAUAAAGAAAAUAACAGUAGUUAAGUAGGGUAAUAAAGACAGAAAACGAGACUGCAAUAAAGCAAGCAUACACAAAUAUAAUCAACUACAGUAGCGCAAGGUACACACGCGAUCGAACACAAAACACAUAUACAUUGUCAGUUUACAUGUCAAUGAGGUGCUGAGUUCCAGCCAUAUGAGGCCAACUGUAACGGUAGCUGUGAGCCAGCGACAAACUCCCAAAUAAUGGUCCAUUGAAAUAUUGAAUGCACCCAGUGCUGUUUCAUAAAUAGUUAAGCAUGACUGUUCUAUAAUUAGCCAGGGCCAUGUAUUCAACGAAAUAGAGAAACUGAAUCAGAAUACAAAAACAUGAUUAUUGCAACAUUUUCGAGUGAAGCUUGGAAUCAAAUCUAUUCAAAAUCAAUUUGAUGCAAGUCAAUACACCAACUUGCGAUCGGCUGUGAAAGACAAACAUUCGUGGGUUGACUUGAACUUGGAAUAACAACGAAGAGAACUACUAGCAAGCAGCAAACAGUUCUAGUUGGGUAGUCCAACACACCCUUUGGGAUUGGUAAAGGGCAUGUAAUGUCGUUUUGUAAUUCAACCAAACAACUUCAUCAUGCAUUAUGUGCUCUAUACUUACAUGCGUCUGUCUCUCUCAAUUCUACGCAUUUUAACAACACAAGUAUGGCCAGAAUAUGUUCUUUCUUAUGGGAGGAUACAACUGUUGGUCCUCUAAUCAGUUGUUUUAUUCUCGGAAUCCAAAUCUCUCAAUAAUCACUCUAGUCUACCGGACUUAUUAUAUAUAGAUGACCACAUUGCAACUUAAUAUAUAUGGAGGCAUAGAUGUAAUGCGAUAUUAAUAUAUUAAGGGAAGAGAGGUCUUGUAUGGAUGAGAAGUAGCAUGUUUGGUAGCCAAGGAUGACUUGCCUAAAUCCCCCAUCCAAUAUUAUCAGGGCUCAAUUUUAAUUGUGUUGCCACAAUAAGCCCUGUUUAAUGUGGUUUUUAGGCGUCGUCCCUUUGGCUAAUCUGACUGUUUCUUCUGUUCAUGCGAGACCUUUUCUUUCACUCCCUGAUUCUAAAUAUUUCUAAAAAAUCUACUCAAUCCAACACUUGGACACGUACUUAUGUUGGACGACCAAGUGUCCAACCGAGCCAGGGUAAGAAAGCUUAUAGCUAGACACACAGACCUACGUAAAGACUAUCUUACCAGAAUGUAAUUGUUGUUCAUACUAUUCUGAGAAUCAGGUUAUCAGCACAGUCGACUUGGCAGGAUAUGAAAUAAUUUCCUCUUGAACAAAGAGCACCACAGAUUGAAGAUGCAGAGAUAAACAGGUACGUUAUGAAGAAUAUGCAAUUCUAUUUUCUUCUUUUGUCCCUCACAUUAGGUGAAGCUGCAAGAGUGUUCAUCAAUCUGGUGGAUUACAAUGGCAAGACAAAAUUCGCAGUCAGGUGUCCCCUGGAGUGGGGUCUGGUCACUGGUGAGACAAGGACCACAGUUAACAAUCACCUCUUAUGAUAAAAAGGGACCAAAGAGGUUUUUUGCUCUUAUCAACAUUAGGGCUGUAAACCGAUACGGACUAUCCGGUGUCUCGGCUCAUAUCCGGCUCGAAAAUAUGAUACAUGUCUCAUAUCCGUUUUGAAAACGAUCCAAAUCUGGCGGAAAAAUUAAGCCCGUAUAAUAUAUGAUCCCGGAUACGAGCACACCUAUACCCGCUCAGAUUCGGUCUCAUAUAAUUUUUCAUAAUAUGAUCCUACCCGA